CCGAGUUGUAAUUUGCAGAGGAUGCUUCGGGCGUGGCCGCGGUCUAAGUCCCCUGGAACGGGGCGUCGCAGAGGGUGAGAAUCCCGUCUUCGGCCGGCCGGCUUCGCCCAUGUGAAGCUCCUUCGACGAGUCGAGUUGUUUGGGAAUGCAGCUCUAAAUGGGUGGUAAAUUUCAUCUAAAGCUAAAUAUUGGUCGGAGACCGAUAGCGCACAAGUAGAGUGAUCGAAAGAUGAAAAGCACUUUGAAAAGAGAGUUAAACAGCAUGUGAAAUUGUUGAAAGGGAAGCGCUUGCGACCAGAGUCGGCCGCGGGGGUUCAGCGGGCAUUCGUUGCCCGUGCACUCCCCCGCGGGCGGGCCAGCGUCGGUUUCGACGGCCGGUCAAAGGCCCCCGGAAUGUGUCGCCUCUCGGGGCGUCUUAUAGCCGGGGGUGCAAUGCGGCCAGUCGGGACCGAGGAACGCGCUUCGGCACGGACGCUGGCUUAAUGGUCGUAAGCGACCCGUCUUGAAACACGGACCAAGGAGUCUAACAUCCACGCGAGUGUUCGGGUGUCAAACCCGUCCGCGCAGUGAAAGCGAACGGAGGUGGGAACCCUUAAGGGUGCACCAUCGACCGAUCCUGAAGUCUUCGGAUGGAUUUGAGUAAGA
rnacentral:rRNA from 1 species